rnacentral:lncRNA from 1 species
AGGUUUUGUGUCCACGUCUUGGGGGUAGGGCAUGACAAAUCUCGUCCUUUCCGACCUCCGACCAGACCCGAAACCCCUUUGCUAUUCUCCUACAAACAACCCGAACAACCACCCAAAACCCCUUUCCCUUUCCCCCUUUGCUAUUCUCCUACAAACAACCCGAACAACCACCCAAAACCCCUUUCCCUUUCUCGCUUUUGCUGCUACAGCAAAACAACAACUAAAACCUCAAACGCAGAGAAAAAACAACCUCCAAAUCCACCCAAAGAACCAGAAUUUAAAACCGGGCUUUCCCCCUUUAUUUUGAUUUUCGUUUGUUUUUGCAGGUUAUAAGAAAUCUUGACCCCCACGGACGAAACCCAAUCUCCGUUCUCCAUUUCUCCGGUUACCAGACCUCCAUUAAACGAGCACCGAGUUCUCAUUCUGAUCGAAUUUUCCAUCUCUAGUGAUUAGCAGAUCCAACUUUUUGCUUUCUCAGGUAAAAGUUGUUUAUUUAUUUUUUUCUUUUGCUGCUUGUUCAGAUUAUUGAGGAUGAACUUAGUAUUACCUUCUAAUUUAAUUUGCAUUUUUUCAUGGUGAUUAGAGCAUCUAUUCAGUUCUAGUGUUUAGAUUGCAGAAUGUUAAGUUAUUAAGUUACUGGUUUUUUGAUAAAUUUUAUGGCUUCUAUUGAGUGAUUAUUAGUUUUCUAUUAUUUUUAUUUUGUUUAAUAUUCAUUGUUCUGGUUUAAUUGUUAUUAUUUUAUUAUAGUUAAUAAUUGUUGGAUGAUUAAUUUUUUAUUUAUUUGUUUCUAUGAUUUGUUAUAGUACACAUUUGUAAUCACUCUUCAUUAUUUUAAUAUAUUGGUAUAAUAGUGAACACUAAAUUUAGUGAGGUUUCUCUUCUUGUUAUUGAGUUUUUUUUAGAAUUGUUAUUUUGCUUAAGCAAGUUUAUUGUGGUGAUGAGUCAUUUAGGUGGCUAGGUUAGUGUUGCUCGCUUUGAACUUGAAGAUAUUAGUAAAGCCAUUUGAUAAGAAUAUUUUCAUGUUUACUUUUGAUCCUUUCUUAUCUUUCAUUGUUUGAAUAAAUUCAUAAACGUUGUUAAUUGAAAUUGACUAAUGAAAAAAAAUCCUUGAUUUUAGAAGUCUCUCUAUUUUAAAAGACAGAAAUUUAAUUUAAUUUCAUAUUUUGUUUAUUAAAAUUGGACGAUUAAGAGAUUACCGUCAAUUUCUAAGGCCUCCUAUGUUAAUAAGAUAAAUUUUUAUUUUUAAGUUAUUAUUUGAUCUAUUCCUAUUUAUUCAUGUUCCUAUAAAGCUAUUCAACUGAAGUUCAAAUUUUAUUCUUUAUUCAUUAUCUUGUAUAUAUCGAUAUUAGGAAAACCUUAAGCUGAUAUUAUUGUUUUAUUUUAGUAUCGUGCAUAUUGCAUGUUUAUUAUACUUGUAUAUUAUUCUUAUCUCCUCCUCAACUAAGUCGGGAACCACCGUUAUGAAUUUCGAAGGAUGUCUAACACCUUCCCUUCAAAAUAACUUGAACCCCCCCUUACCUAGAAUAUGUUGGUUUCGUAGAUAUUUAUUUUAAGUUAAAUUUGUUAAUUGGUUUCCUAGUUUUCCUAAAAACAUAGGUAGCGACUGCCUUUUACCCUUUUUAAGAAUUCUUUUUAAACUGAAUUAUUGUUUUUGGUGUGUCACCGCGAUGUUGCGCUCUCUCAAAAGAUGUCAACAUAUAUGACCUGUUUCAAAAGUCUGUUUCGAUUAAGAAUGCGGUCACACAUAUAUUUUUUAGGACAUUAAGAUUAACUCAAAGAUGCAAUAAUGUACCUUUUCCAAUAAUAUAAUUAUAUUUCACUUAUGUAAAUUGACAAUUUUAUAUAAAAUUAUUAAGUGUGAUGCAAUCUUGGGACAUUAAAAUUAACUCUAGGAUGCAAUAAAACAACAUGUCCAAAAAUAUAAUUAUAUUUCCUUUAUGUAAAAUAAUGUUUUAAGAUAAAAUUAUUAAGCAUGAUGCAAAGAAGAUAAUUAUAUUUCUAAAUAUUAAGACCAAGAAUGUUGUUGUAUCUAGGUCGAGACCAAAUAAAGGUUCAACAAAUAAAAAUGUGAGAAAAUCAUGACCUACAAAAAUAUAUCCAAAAGAUACCUAAAAUAAGUUUAAGUCAAUAAAUGUGAUCGUGUAAGAACCACAGAACUCGAGGGAUGCCUAAUACAUUCUCCUCGGUCAACAAAUUUUUUUACCCCAAAUUUCUAGUUCGCACACCAAAUAAGGUGUCACACCCCGAGCCUACACCCUGGACAGGAUUGUCACUCAGAGACAAUUGUUGUCCUCGAGCAGACCCUUGUUCGGGUUUACUUAAAACAUCAAAAAACUAUAUGCAUUUUUUCAUAAGAUCUAUGAAGCCUCUAAAACCACUGAGAUGCAUGUUGAGACAAAUCCCUCUAGAUCCUAAUGAACUGAACUAGAAAGAAAAUAAAAGAUUCCUCCAGAAUGCAAGAAGGCUCUUUAAUAGACUCCGAAUGCUCAAGCUCGAUCAACAUGUAUCGUGGUUCCCUGCAUCUGCUUCAUAAUAAGAUGCAGACCAACUGACAUCAGUAAAUUGAACAAACGAGUAUGCGAGUUCGAAUGCUAAAACAACAUAGGCUUGAAAGGUAAAUCUGAGAAACUUACCUAGUUCAACUUGACUCAGCAAUAUUGGACUCAUUUCAAUAUAAUAAUUUAAAAGAAAGUGCAAUCUACAGAAAAGUUGUUUAAAACAUGAUGUGAGCUCUGUGUAUACACAAGGAUACAAUAUAACUCUGAAAUAUAUUUAGAAAGACAAAUAACUGUGCAUAUAGAAAUACAAUUACUUUUGUGGAAGUUUCUCGAACCGGAAACAAUUACAUAAGAGCUAUGGUAAUGAUACCCCGAUCUAUCUUAUGCUGCUAGCACAUCCUAUACACGGCCAAAGGUAUAGGACCUGAACUACUAAAUAGAUCCACUAGUUUAUAGUGAAAAGGAUUCAUCUAAAAAGUAUGACCCUUCUCUACCCAUGGUGGCUACAUGGUUAUAUGGAGACGUGAGUUAUCUGAACUCAUGAUCGUCCCCAAUUCGGUGCUCAAUACUACUCCCACAACAGACUAGUACUUACGUUUUAAAAACAUACUUCUUAAUGAUUUGAGAUUAAUGCUAAAAAACAUAGAUCAAAGUCUAUCUUGGAGAUCUCAAUUUCCCGUCUUGCUUUGUUUAUAAAGCUUUUAAUAUUUUCUAAAAACUAGCCCGAAAGGUGUUAGGAAAUCUCAGUUUCCGUUCUUACUUAAAUGUGAAAAUAUUUUAAAUCUCUUUGGGAAUAUCUAGUCCUGUAUAUAUAUUUUUUUUGAGAACAGAACUUCAAUUUCUCUUCACUGAACUAAAAAAUUAUGUCUUAAAUUAAAGUAAAAACAUUUGUGGAAAGAAUUUUGAAAAUGUUGAAUAAACUUCUCUUACUUGACUCUUGACUUUGAUCUUAACUACUCUUGACUUGAGUCUUUACUAAUCAUUUAGUUAAAUUAUGGAUUCAAGGAAUAUGAUUUGUGUUUAAAAAGAUCUCAUGAUGUUUGGGAAUGAUUUUAGAUAGCGCAACAUGAGAAAAGUCACGAAAUCACUCUCUUGGAAAAAAUUUGCGAUGUGGAGAUAUUUUAAGAAAUUACUCGUAAAAUAAAAUUUUGAGGUAGAUGAGUUUGUGUCCUAACCACGACGUGGAGAAACGUUUUUUUCUCACAAGGGGAGAAAGUGUUGCAAACUUGCUUGCCAGAUUGCGCUCGACUUUUACCUUCAUCAUUUAACAGCCCAAAUUCGACUAAACUAGAAUAUUUUCCCAAAUUCAUUUUAGAUUUUGAUACCCAACAUAUGUACUCAAUAACCUAACUCAAUACAACUAUAAAACUCAAUGUUAAGAUCUAAGAAACUCCACAAUUCAAUCCAAACCAAGAGAAACAUUCAAAUUCAAGAAUACAUAUCAAAAACAUCAACUUUCAAACUCUUUUGGGACAAAUUGCACGGAACUGAACAUGGUUGGCACGCGGAUGAACUAAAGCAAUGCUAUGAAGACACACAUACCUUGUAGGAUCAAUUCCUUGGCGAAUCCACAACAAAAAUUAUUCGUCCUUUCUGAUUCUUGUUUUUUCUCUUAACUUUUCUCUUGCGUUCUUUCUCCAAAAUUCCUAAUUCUUUUUUCAAAAGCGUAAACUAGACUAACUAAGUUAUGACCCCAAUAUAUUUACUAAAAACGAAAUUAAUUAGUUGGGCAAGGAAAAGACCAAACUACCUUUCUAAAAUCUACAUUGGCUAAUUCCUUAAUCGAAAAACUCAACUUUCAAAGGACAUAUCUUACUCAUAUGAACUCAAAAUUGCACACUCACCUAGAAGUUAUGGACACUUGAAGUUGACCAAAACUCUACGUUUCAUAACUUAAAAUGAUAAUUUCAAGUUAUAAAAUUCUUUCUAGCUAUUUCAAUUUGUGAGAUGUUACAAUACUCCCCCUUGGAAACAUUCAUCCUCGAAUGAGAUUACUCUUACUAGGCUAAAGGUGGUAACAUCUAGUUUAAACACCAAACGAGGAAAUUAAAACAAACAAUAGGCUCACUCAUAAUUUAAAGAGUACUAAGAAGAAAAUUAGUGCCUUGGUCUGCAUUUUCUCUGGAUUCACAGAUAUGUGGAUAUCUCUUUUUCAUAUCCUCUUCAACUUUCCAAGUGUUCCCUCAACAAAUUGAUUCAUCCAUAGAGCUGUGAUUGAUGUUAAUUCCUUGGUCCUCCUCAACUUGCAAACUUGGAAAUCUAGAAUCUGGACCAAAAACUCUUCAAAACAUAAGUUAUACUUGAUACUAAUAUACUGAGGACUAAGUUUCCCCUUCUAAAAAAACCUCAAUACCACACUUCUUGAGUGCAGCGUUCAAGUAUACUCAAUCAUCUGCUUCAAACCAUCCAAUAGGAUAUGUGUAUCUUAUCCCAUACAGAGCUUCGUAAGGAGCCAUCUGGAUACUAGAAUGGUAACUAUUGUUGUAGGAAAUUUCAAUGAGAGAUAGGUGAUCAUCUCAAUUACCCUUGAAAUCAAUUAUACAAUCUACCUUAAAUACUCAAAACACUAUCUCCUCCUUGUUCAAAAGACACCAACUUUUGCUUAUGAAAACUUGUCUUUAAUUCAAGCAAUAAAGGAUCUUAGUCUUUCUUCUACUCUUAGUUCUGACAAUAAUGAUGAUUCAACCCCAUUCAUCACCACUACCCCUCUUCUAUGAAAAUCCAUUAGUCGAACUCCUAUUCGUGCAAGUCUAUGCACCUCUUUUGCUAACUCUCUCUUACCUUUCUCAAAAUAGGAGGUAUUACCCAUUGAUAACCUGCUCAAGGCAUCAACAACAACAUUAACCUUGCCUGGGUGAUAAAAGAAUAUUCAUGUCAUUAUCUUUAAGUAACUUGAACAACCUCCUCUGUCUAAGAUUAAGCUCUUUCUGACUAAACACACAUCGAAGGUACUAGUGAUUGAUAAACACAUCUUAUGAACUCCAUAAAGAUAAUGGCACCAUAUAUUCACAGCGAAUACUACUGCAACAGACUCUAAGUCAUGGGUUGGGUAACUCUUCUCGUGAACCUUAAACUGGCUUGAGACAUAAGCUAUAACUUUGUCAGUCUGUAUUAACAUACAACAAAAUUAAACUCUAGAUGCAUCACAAUACACGACAAAACCUUGAGUACCUUUUGGUACGGUCAAAACUAGGCACUAGUCAACCUCUUUUUCUAUUCUUGAAAGAUUUUCUCACAAGCUUCAGACUAUUGAAACUUAAUUGUCUUCUUAUUCAACUUGGUAAAAGGAUAUGAAAUAGAAGUACCCCUCUAUGAACUUUCUAUAGUAGCCAGCAUAUCCCAAGAAACUACUAAUAUCAGUCGUAGAUGUGGGUCUAGGCCAACUCUGCACUACCUCUAUCUUUUGGGUAUCAACUCUAAUUCAAUCACCAGACACUAUGUGGACUAAGAACGCCACAAACUCAAGCCAAAACUCAUAUUUAGAGAACUUAGCAUAUAAAUCAUUAUCUUUCAAAGUAUGAAAAAUAUUCUGAGAUGUCUAGCAUGAUCUUCUCCAUUUCUCGAAUAGAUUAGAAUGUCAUCAAUGAAGACGAUAACAAACAUAUCUAAGUAAGGCUUGAAUAAACUAGUCAUAAGGUGCAUGAAUGUUGUUGGUGCAUUACUGAACCCAAAGGACAUGACUAAAAACUCAAAAUGACUACAUCGACAUCUGAAAGUUGUCUUUAGAAUAUCACAUUCCCUUAAUCUCAAUUGAUGGUAGCCAGAUCUGAUAUCUAUCUUAGAAAAAUAGGUGGCACCCUGAAUUUGAUCGAAUAAAUCAUUAAUCCUUUGAAGAUGAUACUUGUUCUUGAUGGUAACCUUUUUCAAUUUACGAUUGUCUAUACACAUCCUAAGGGAACCAUUUUUAUUUCUCACAAACAAGACCGGAGGGCCCCAAGGUGAGAUAAUUGGUCGAAAGAAACCCUUAUCUAAUUGAUCCUUUAACUUCUCUGUAAGCUCUUUCAAUUCUGCUAGUGCCAUUCUGUAUGACGAAAUAGAUAUAGGAUGAGUAUCUGGAAGAACAUCUAUACCGAAGCCUAUCUCACUCUCAGGAGAAAAUCUAGUAAUAUCGUCUAAACAGACCUCUGGAAACUCUUUUACUACUAGAGGUACCUCAACACUUGAGUCAUUAACUCGGACCAAGUAAUAGACACACCCUUUAGAAACUAACUUACUUUCUUUAAGGUACAAAAUGAAAUGACCCUUAGACACUAAUGAACGGCUUUUCCACUCUAAGACUGGCUCAUUUGGAGACUAAACAUGACUAUUCGAGUUCUAUAAUCAAGUGAGGCAGAAUAGGCAUGAAUCCAAUCCAUAUUGAGAUCGACUUCAAAACUACCAUAUCUAACUAAGUGAAAUCAUCCAUGGUACUCUUGUGAUUGAUGAAAAUGGGAAAAUCACAAUAUAUUCUCUCUGCUAGAAUGGACUCACCAAAAGGUGAAGAAACAUUUAACGGUUAAGUAAGUUCCUUAGGAAUAAUAUCAAAGUGUAACACCUUGAAAAUCAAAGACACAUUGUAAGGCCUAACAUAGGUGUCAUGACGUCUAAGUACUAUUAUAAUUUCAUUUUAAAUAAAUAUAGGUCAUUUAUAAGGGACGUCCAUUACGUUCAAAAAGUUGGUUCAAAGGGAUGUUAGUGUGCAUUAGCCUAUUUGACUAACUUUUAGGAGUCAGAAAUGUAAAAAAAUUGGUGGAAAGAUAGAUAAUAAGUGUUUGAGUGGCUUCAUGGUUGAAACGUCCGGGUACAACUCCCCAAAGACCAACCAAGGGCCCUUGAGGAGGACUCUUGUAGUUUGAUACAACACUGCCUGGCAAUGUGCAUCAACGGGACAGAAGACGUCCCAUGUGUGGACGGAAGUGGCGUCAAUGUCACCGUCAUCCCACACUUAGGCUGGUAGAGAAGGCCCUUUCACCCACACAACCUCUGAACUCAUUUGACGGAGUGCAAAGGUGCAGACUACGGCUCGUAUCUGGAUCGACGGGGCGUCGAUGCCAUCGUCGUCCCACACUUAAACAAUUUGAGAAAUCCCCUCACCUGCACAGUCCGACGGUUAAACAAUUUGAGAAAUCCCCUCACCUGCACAGUCCGACGGUUAAACAAUUUGAGAAAUCCCCUCACCUGCACAGUUCGACGGUUAAACAAUUUGAGAAAUCCCCUCACCUGCACAGUCUCUACAAAGAAGAAGGAGUGCAGGACGGAGGGGGGAUGUCCGUCGACUCACAUAAGGUCCGUCGAUCGGGGUUUCGUCUAUAAGGGUUGAGUUUUCUACCUAAUUUAAGUUGGUCUUAUUUAUUUAAUUAAGUGGUUUAGGGAUUAGUUGGGGAUUAAAUGGAGACUAAUUAACUUAUUAAGUCCCAUUAUAAAUACCCUCAACUCUCAUUAACCUAAAAACAACUCUCACAUGAACUCACUUCCUUCUCUCUUAUCUCUCUCUCUACAUGAACUCACCAUUGAAGACUAGCAAGGACAAGGGUUUCGAGGUUGGAAAGGGA